AUUCCCUACGGGACGCAGCAGACGGCAAUGCAAGCCAGGAGUGAAAGCCCGGGGCCCAACCCCGGGACUGCUCUUGGAACUGCAUGGCUGGAGUACAGGAGGGGCAGGCGGAAUUCCUAGUGUAGCGGUGAAAUGCGUAGAUAUUAGGAGGAACACCGGUGGCGAAGGCGGCCUGCUGGACUGUGACUGACGUUGAGGCCCGAAGGCGUUGGGAGCAAACAGGAUUAGAUACCCGUGUAGUCCCCGU
rnacentral:rRNA from 1 species